GAUGAACGCUAGCUACAGGCUUAACACAUGCAAGUCGAGGGACCGGCGCACGGGUGAGUAACACGUAUCCAACCUGCCCUUUACUCGGGGAUAGCCUUUCGAAAGAAAGAUUAAUACCCGAUAUAAAGGAUGGGGAUGCGUUCCAUUAGGUUGUUGGUGAGGUAACGGCUAACCAAGACUUCGAUGGAUAGUGGAUCUGAGAGGAAGGUCCCCCGCAUUUGAACUGAGGCACGGUCCAAACUCCGACGGGAGGCAGCAGUGAGGAAUAUUGUGCAAGGGGCUUUAGCCUGAACCAGCCAAGUAGCGUGAAGGAUGAAGGCUUAUGGGUCGUAAACUUCUUUUAUAUAAGAAUAUGUAUUAUAUGAAUAAGGAUCGGCUAACUCCGUGCCAGCAGCCGCGGUAAUUC
rnacentral:rRNA from 1 species